UGGGGAAUAUUGCGCAAUGGGCGAAAGCCUGACGAUGCGACGCCGCGUGGGUGACGAAGGCCUUAGGGUUGUAAAACUCUUUCGUCGGGGACGAUAAUGACGGUACCCGAAGAAGAAGCUCCGGCUAACUUCGUGCCAGCAGCCGCGGUAAUACGAAGGGAGCUAGCGUUGUUCGGAAUCACUGGGCGUAAAGCGCACGUAGGCGGAUAGUUAAGUCAGGGGUGAAAUCCUGGGGCUCAACCCCAGAACUGCCUUUGAUACUGGCUGUCUCGAGGUCGAGAGAGGAUGGCGGAAUACCCCAAGUAGAGGUGAAAUGCGUAGAUAUCGGGAGGAACACCAGUGGCGAAAGCGCCUUGCUGGACCAUUACUGACGCUAAGGAACGAAAGCCAGGGUAGCGAAAGGGAUUAGAUACCCAUGUAGUCCCUGAG
rnacentral:rRNA from 1 species